GUGUAGCAGCACAUACACUGAAAUUGGAAUGAUACAGAGGUCAGCAUGGCGCCCGCGAAAGGGGGACACGCAUAUUUGUAAAGCCUUCCUUAUUUAA
rnacentral:snRNA from 1 species